rnacentral:rRNA from 1 species
UAAUACGUAGGGGGCGAGCGUUGUCCGGAUUUACUGGGCGUAAAGGGUGAGUAGGCGGUUGUAUAUGUCAGGUGUAAAAGGCACAGGCUUAACUUGUGUUAGCACUUGAAACUGUACGACUUGAGUGCAGGAGAGGUAAGCGGAAUUCCUAGUGUAGCGGUGAAAUGCGUAGAUAUUAGGAGGAACACCAGUGGCGAAGGCGGCUUACUGGACUGUAACUGACGCUGAGUCACGAAAGCGUGGGUAGCAAACAGGAUUAGAUACCCUGGUAGUCCACGCUGUAAACGAUGAGUGCUAGGUGUUGGGUAGCGAUACUCAGUGCCGCAGCAAACGCAAUAAGCACUCCGCCUGGGGAGUACGGUCGCAAGACUGAAACUCAAAGGAAUUGAUGGGGACCCGCACAAGCAGCGGAGCAUGUGGUUUAAUUCGAAGCAACGCGAAGAACCUUACCAAGGCUUGACAUCCCCUUGACAAGUGCAGAGAUGUACUCUCUUCUUCGGAAGCAAGGGAGACAGGUGGUGCAUGGUUGUCGUCAGCUCGUGUCGUGAGAUGUUGGGUUAAGUCCCGCAACGAGCGCAACCCUUAUCCUUAGUUGCCAGCAUGAAAGAUGGGCACUCUAAGGAGACUGCCGGUGAUAAACCGGAGGAAGGUGGGGAUGACGUCAAAUCAUCAUGCCCCUUAUGUCUUGGGCUACACACGUGCUACAAUGGUCGGUACAACGGGGAGCGAAGGAGCGAUCCGGAGCAAAUCCCAAUAAACCGAUCCCAGUUCGGAUUGUAGGCUGCAACUCGCCUACAUGAAGUCGGAGUUGCUAGUAAUCGCGAAUCAGAACGUCGCGGUGAAUGCGUUCCCGGGUCUUGUACACACCGCCCGUCACACCAUGGAAGUUGGUAAUACCCGAAGUCGCUGAGCUAACCGCAAGGAGGCAGGCGCCGAAGGUAGGAUCAAUGACUGGGGUG